GAUGAAGAACGCAGCGAAAUGCGAUAAGUAAUGUGAAUUGCAGAAUUCAGUGAAUCAUCGAAUCUUUGAACGCACAUUGCGCUCCCUGGUAUUCCGGGGGGCAUGCCUGUCCGAGCGUCAUUACAACCCUCAAGCUCAGCUUGGUGUUGGGCCCCGCCGCCCCGGCGGGCCCUAAAGUCAGUGGCGGUGCCGUCCGGCUCCGAGCGUAGUAAUUCUUCUCGCUCUGGAGGUCCGGUCGUGUGCUCGCCAGCAACCCCCAAUUUUUUUCAGGUUGACCUCGGAUCAGGUAGGGAUACCCGCUGAACUUAAGCAUAUCAAUAAGCGGAGGA
rnacentral:misc_RNA from 1 species